rnacentral:misc_RNA from 1 species
AUUGGAGGAAAUGCACCAGCCUUGGGAAUUGGUCCCACAAUGGGAUUGUUUGUGGGAGGUGGAGGGCGAGCCCCAUUAGCAGUUGUCGGCGUGCAAGAAUGAUCUGUGAAGAGUGUUUUAAUAUCAGGAUUUGGGCGAGGAUUUUUGCAAAGCUGAUGCUGCCAAUUUAGACUCUGGUUUAUUAAAGUCCUUAGGCGCGAGCUUUUGAAGGAUGGAAAUGUAAGCUUGUCACGAAAUAAUGGGUUUGCUUCAAUAAGCUUUUUAAGUUCCACAAGCAUGAUGUUUCGAGCUGAUUUUGUGUCUCCAUAUUUGGAAAGUUGCUCAUUUUGCCUAAAAUUAUCAAGAGUAAGCAACUGAGUUAUCUCCUUGAAGAGUUCUUCAUUGAAUGAUGCAAAAACCUUAAGGUCCUUGACAAGAAUCUCAACAGCUUUUGCUCGAUCCUGUCUGUCAAGAGCUUCUAGAUAUUUUUGCUUCCUAAUUUCAAAGAAAAUCUUCAUGGAGUAGCGAUUGUCUUCAACCUUUGUAAACCCACACAAAUAACGCUCAACCUCAUC